rnacentral:lncRNA from 15 species
UUCGCCUUUGUUAUAUGAAGUAUAAUGGUUUGGCUCUUGUAAUUCCCUCCCUUGUCGGUUAACCAGUGUUUUUCUUCUGCAUGUCUAUAGGUGGCGCUGGCCGCGACGUUUCGUCCGCUUCUUGGGACUUCCUCAGGCUUAAGGCCACAGCAUGCAGGAUUUCAUGGACUUCGUGGAGCUCCCUCAACACGGAAUAAGGUAAGGCUAGGGUUUUGAGGCUGGGAUUUUGGGGUUGAGAGUUAAUUAGGGUUGUAGGACCUUAGGUUUAGGGCCACAAAAUGGGCUAGGGGAUAGGCCAAUUAAUGGGAAUCAGAGUGACAAAUUGGGACUGAUGUUAAAUUGGGGUAGAGCAGGGACUUAGGGUUAGCUUAGCAUAGCUUAACAUGGGUGGGAGGACCAGACAUAUGUCCAAGGAGGCGCUGGCUAAGUUAGGUGAGAACUAGGAGCUGGGACCCACCGAAGUGGAUCCCAACAGUGCACGGGCCAUCAUCAGGGACGUCCAGUCCUCCGUCGCCAUCUUCCAGGUAUGGGUUUGUAUAAUCUACUAUUUAGAUCAUGUUAGACAGGUUCGCCUUUGUUAUAUGAAGUAUAAUGGUUUGGCUCUUGUAAUUCCCUCCCUUGUCGGUUAACCAGUGUUUUUCUUCUGCAUGUCUAUAGGUGGCGCUGGCCGCGACGUUUCGUCCGCUUCUUGGGACUUCCUCAGGCUU